rnacentral:rRNA from 1 species
CAGUAGCCGCGGUAAUACGUAGGUGACAAGCGUUGUCCGGAAUUAUUGGGCGUAAAGGGCUCGCAGGCGGUUUCUUAAGUCUGAUGUGAAAGCCCCCGGCUCAACCGGGGAGGGUCAUUGGAAACUGGGAAACUUGAGUGCAGAAGAGGAGAGUGGAAUUCCACGUGUAGCGGUGAAAUGCGUAGAGAUGUGGAGGAACACCAGUGGCGAAGGCGACUCUCUGGUCUGUAACUGACGCUGAGGAGCGAAAGCGUGGGGAGCGAACAGGAUUAGAUACCCGUGUAGUCCCUGUCUCUUAUAC